rnacentral:lncRNA from 1 species
CCCGAAUCAUCUUUGUCAUGCUAAGGAAGAUGAGGUUUUAUUUGGGUCCUCAGCCGCACAGUAAAUGAUAGUAAGGAAGUUUGUUAGCCUUGAAUACAAGCUCUCUGAAGACAGGCUUUCUUUUUCGUCCAUUUUGUUUGCUGCUAUAAUGCAGAUCGUAGGAGGGGGUUCUGACAAGUCGUAGGGCUGGAAUGACUAUUGUUUGCAUCACAAAUGGCAGGAGCCUUCAGGCAUCAGGAGCAAGAUCUGGUCAGGCAUCGCUUCUGGAGGUUUGACUGCUUGAUGGAGUCAGCCAGGGCUGGGCGGUUGAAAGUCUCUGCAGUGACAGGCUUAGGGGAGGGAGACCUCCAGUGAGCCACAUGCAGGGAGGGGGAAGUUUUCACUCAUUGAUAACCAUCACUGUGAACUCCUCCCCAACACCCCUUCCUUCAAGCCCUGGCCUCCUUACUGGAAGACACAAACUCGCCCCAGUUUUCUACAUCCUGAACCUUGAGAGAUUUCCUCACCAAACUAGGCUGGUACAGACCCUGGGAGGUUCCGGCAGAUUUGGGGUGCUUGCGAUGUUUGCAUAGGGGAAAGCAGGUGCUGAUGUUGUUAUGUUCAGUGUGAUAACUCUGGCCCAUUUAUUCCUUAGUACUUGGUAGUGACCGCGAGUAUACAGGCAAGCUCAAGGACAAGGCAAAACAGGACAAAUUUGAGAACCAUGGUGACAGAUGCAAAUCACACACACACACACACACAAAACCCCACCAUGUUGGGAGGCAGGCAGUCUGGUUUAGUCCAGGCUAGCCUUGCUGUGUAGCAAAGCUUGAACUCCUGACCUUUCUACUUUUUCAUCUCUAAUACAGGCAGGGUUAUAGGUGUGUGCCAACGCUUCCAGCUGGAAAUAGCAUUUUCUAGAAGGCAGUGAGUGCUUGUACAGUUAGGAUCCUGACUCUGAGCUAGCCCACUGGACUCCAAAUCUCAGCCCUUCUCUUUGGCAGUUCUAUGACCCCAGUCAACUCACCUGACCUCUCUCAGAUACUAUUUCCUCCUCUAUAGCAAGCUUCUGCAAUCAAGCAACCUAGUGAGUUCCUGGCCCGUAGACUGUGUUCUGGCAGUCUGCGAUAGCUCAUAGCCAUAAGCCUAAUACUAAGGAGAAUAAAAAAAGAUUACUGCAAAUUUGAGGCCAGCCUGGGCUACAUGGUAAGUGCCAGGGUAUCCUGGAUUACAGAGUAAGGCUAUGUCUCAUAAACAGCAAAAGGAAGACCUGCCUGAUCCUAUUUCACAGGGGAAGGAAGUAAAGACCAGAGAGGUGAUUAACUGCCCUGUUCCCUGACCCACUGCUUAGGAGUGACAGCGAUCUGAAGCCAGGUCAAGUUGACCUUGCCUCUGUAGUAGUUGGGUGGAGAAAGGUCAAAACCCCAGAAGAUGCCUGGGUUUGACGCUGUUCCCUGAGGGCUGAUGGUAGGAUCCUCUGAGGUUUGCCCCCUGUUGCUCUGUGAAGAAUCCACAGGCCCAGGCAGGCUCCUGUCUGGAAGUUAGAGUAGUCUAACUAACUAGUCUGACCUAUGACAAAUUUUAAGUGGAGGGGGCCACCGCAGGCAGGAAUGUAAGGAGUUACACUACCUUAAACUUAGUCCUGUAAUGAGAGGGUCAGACACCAGUAGCCAUGGUGACCAGAAUGUGUCUCCUGUCUCCUCAAAUGCCUUCUUCUUGACCCACCUGCCUCCCGUGUUCUUUUCUGCUUACCUCAGACCCACAGGCCUUAGGAUAUUGUUGUACCUUGAAGUCCGAGCAUGAAUGUCGCCUCCUACAAAGUCCCUUCCUAUCUCGUUUUCAGAAAUCCACCAUGCUCACACAUACCAUGUCUCCUCCCUGCGUGUUUCCUGCCCCAUCUGUGAUUUCCUUACUGAUCUGAGUGCCAGGUCACUGUCUAGCUUUGCUAGAAUACACCCCUACACCUCAAAGGCAUGGACAACACUGAAGGCGUUGUCAAUCCUGCUUGGCUUGAACAAGUAGUCGCCACGUGGCAAUCAUGUGAAUAUCAUGUGGAUAUGAGCUGAUGACUGGAUAAGUGUGUCAGUGCAUGACGAUGGGAAAACGGUGUCUACCUCUUAAGCCUCAGUUCCCUCUUCUUUGAAAUGGUGUUAAUACCUAAUGAAGCAAGAUGGAAAUAAAGGGGCUGCUAUUGAGGACUUACUGUAGGUCCAGCAUACACUUGGAGGUGCAGGCAAGGACCAGAAGUUCAAGGUCAUUUUCAGCCAUGUCAGGAGUUUAAGGCCAGUCAAGAAUAAACCCCACACCCUGCCUGCCUCCAGUGUCACAGUUUCCUGCCUCUAUGGUCACAGGCUGCUUGGGCU